rnacentral:rRNA from 1 species
AUUGAACGCUGGCGGCAGGCCUAACACAUGCAAGUCGAGCGAGCGGCGGACGGGUGAGUAAUGUAUGGGGACUGCCCGAUAGAGGGGGAUAACUACUGGAAACGGUGGCUAAUACCGCAUACUAUCGGAUAACCCAUAUGGGAUUAGCUAGUAGGUGGGGUAAAGGCUCACCUAGGCGACGAUCUCUAGCUGGUCUGAGAGGAUGAUCAGCCACACUGGGACUGAGACACGGCCCAGACUCAUACGGAGGCAGCAGUGGGGAAUAUGGCACAAUGGGCGCAAGCCUGAUGCAGCCAUGCCGCGUGUAUGAAGAAGGCCUUCGGGUUGGAAAGUACUUUCAGCGAGGAGGCGUUACUCGCAGAAGAAGCACCGGCUAACUCCGUGCCAGCAGCCGCGGUAAUAC